UGUAUCACUUCCUUCUUGCAGUAGUGAAAUUUUCCCUUGCUAUAAUACAAUCCCUGUUGUGUCUUUGGAAGUACGGAUUCAGAUACAAUGCCAGGAAAAAUAGGCUAUUAACAAAGAAAGUUCUGUACCUUGGAUUCACCUUUGAAGGGCAUCGUGUCGGUGUCCAGGAAUGUUUCAUAGACAAGCAGAAAAGCAGCAAAAGAGGUACCUCACAUGAACAGCUAGCCAGAAAAUGAACACGAGUGCUGGUAAAACAGACGUUAAAAUCCCAAAAACAACAAGGAAAGAAAGAGGAAGCCUGUGCUUUAUCACAGUUUUGCUACUCUAAAGGUUACUCUGAAGGAAAAGCAAAACAGAUGUGUCAGAUCACAUGAGCAUUUCGAAAGGCUAAAAGGUUGUCUGAAAAAAAAGGAUCAAGUUGAAGGCAUCUGCUGUGAAGAGAGAAGCAGCUGCUCAGGAAUGGUCUGAGGACAAAAGCCUGUGUCUGAGGAAGGGGAACAUCAUUUUGACAGCUGGAGAGUAUAGAGUUCCCACCAGAGACCACCCGUGAAUGGAAGAAGUGGAGCCACCUUCACAAGUCACCAGCUUUCAGCACUGGCUGGUGAACCAAAAUACCAGAGCCCUGUUGUGGAAGAUUUAUACACCUAAAGAGGGACUUAG